UUUUUUUUUUUGGGCUGCACCCAUGGCAUGCUGAAAUUCCUGGUUCAGGGACUGAACCAAGCCAUAGCAGCAACCCAGGCCACAGCAGUGACAAUGCCGGAUCCCUACCUGCUAGGCCACGAGCGAACUCCUGUAUGUCAAUUGUAUGUCUGGCUAGGCUACGGGAUACGGUUGUCUGAUUAAACAGGACUGGUGUUGCCAUGAAAGUAUUUUUUAAAUAUGAUUAACAUUUAAAUCAUAUGUUUUGAAUAAAGCUGAUUAUCCUCCAUAAGGUGGAUGGAGCUCAUCCAAUCAGUUGAUAAUGUUUAGAGAAAAGACUGAGGUUCCCCAAAGAGGAAAGAAUUCUGUCUCCAGACUUCCUUUGAACUCAAGACUCCAAGUGCAACUCUUGUCCCUGCAGAUUUUGGCCAGUGGGUCUCUGUCUUUCUGUCUGUCUGCCUCUCUCUCUAUAUAUAUAUCCUGUUCCUCAUUUUUUCUGGAGAAUCCUGACUAAUACACUAUAUAAAAUACAUGCUGAUAUUUUCUAUUUCAUUCUAAUUAAUUGAAAAAUGUUACUUGCAACCCACUCUAAUGAGUUAUGACUUUUUGAAAACAGCUUUAUCAUCAUGUGAUUUAUAUACCACAACAUGCUCCCACUGAACAUGUACGAUUUGAUGAUUCUUAAUAGAUUUUUAGAGUUCAGUGGCUGGGGAUCGCCGUAAUCUAAUGUUAGAGUAUUUUCAUCAUCCCUCAAGGAAGCCCUGAACCCUCAGUCAUUCUCUCUAGUUAUCAUUUGUUUUUCUGAAAAGCAUUGUUCUAAAUCAGCGUUUCUCAAAGUAUGAUCUAGAACCAGCAUCAUCAGCAUUGUCUGUGAACUUGUUAACAAUGCAAAUUCUUGGACCCUAACCCAGACUUACUGAACCAGAAGCUCUUAGGGUGGAGUCUAGCCAAAUUCUAGAUGAUUCUCAUGCAAAUAAAAGUUUGAGAACCACAAUCCUAGAGGACAAGCUAGGAAGAUCCACAUGUACCUUGAAGUUCUCUGUGCUCCCAGGAUGGGACAGGACAUCUGCUGAGUCUCUCAGAAGUUCUGUGGGAUUCAAGUUUCAUUCAGGAAUCAUUUUAAAAUGUUCAGAUCUAAAAUUCGAUUCAAUAAUCAAUUCAUGAAUCACUUGGGGGAGCGGAGAGCCUUCUAACAGAAGUCUGAGUCACAUCCUCAUCUCCCUAGUGGUGGAUUCUAACCUGAAUGGUGCAGAAGAGGCUGCUGUAACCCUUCUCACGGGGUCAAAGAGAGCCAUCAUGUCGAGACUUUGGGCAAAAACACUCCUGCUCAUCUGAAGAGUCCAUAUCCAAGGAUCUAAGAGUGGCAGGUGACUUUGAUCCAGACACUCUGCUUACAAAAAGGAAAACUGGAGUUCCCGCUGUGGCACAACAGAAUUGGCAGCAUCUCUGAUGCGCUGGAAUGCGAGUUCGACCCCUGGACCUGCAUAGUGGGUUAAUGAUCCAUCCUUGCUGUUGCUGUGUCAUAGGUCAAAACUGUGGCUUGGAUCUGAUCCCUGGCCUGGAAUUUCCACAUGCUGCAGGGUGGCUAAAAAAGAAAAAUGAAACAAAACAAAAAAGGAAAAUUUACACACAUGGGACCAUAUAAAGAGUGGGGGGGGUGGGGGUGGGGGUGGGAGGUGUGUAAAGUGAGAAUGUCCAGGUUUCACAGAAUCCACAGUCCAGGAGGGAAGGCGAGCCAGGUCCCCUGGGAAGUGGAUAACCAGCCGAAGGGGAAAUACUUCCUUCUUCUUCAAAUAGCACCCCUGCUGCUCAAUCUGUGCAUCCAGCUGUCUUUGCAGAUGGGCAGCCUCUGCUUUCCAUGGCCCAGGUACUCUCAGGUUCUGAAUCUCCCUCACCUGUCACUUAGGCAUCCAUACCUAGUGACUCACUCUCCUAGUCUCCCCAAAUAUCAAUUCUUCUCUUCUUGUGCAGUCAUGUCAUUGGCCACUGAUGGGCCUAUGGAUCGGGACCCUGUGACUUCCGUGUCUUACAUUCAUACAUCCACCACCAGUAGAAGCACCAGACCCAGAGAUGGACCUAGAGUAACCAUUUCUGGGUAAGAGAGCUAGCGAUCAGGAUUCAAAGCUAGACAACUGUUUUCAGUAAGAUGUGCUUCCUUAUUGGAGCCAUUGCUAUUCUGGAGACUAUGAAUGCACAUAGCGGGUGCAUCUUAGGUUGUGACUGAAGCAAUGAGAGAGCUUGAAAUCUCACAAGGAGGGGCCUCUUAAAUCGCAAAGCAGAGGUCCAUGCUGCAUUUUCGUCUGAAAUUUCCCAUUACAGGUGUGUGAUACUGGAUUGGUACAGAACAUUUGCACACCUACGCCUUUCCUUCAUCCCUUCACAUUGUGGGGCGUGUAGAGGGGGUGACCUACAAAAUUCCUUCCACCACUAUGUGCAUUGGAGUCCUCAGUGCUGACUCAGCAGAUCCCUUUCUCUGAAGCUUGAAGGAGCAGAAGCAAGAGAUGGGCUGAGUCCCCUGCUGUAGAUAAAUGUGCCGACCUCUAUCUACUCUUGGGGUCCUGUGUGCUCCUCCCUCUCUUCAUCAUUUCCUCUGGAAGGAGAUUUUACUGUCUCCCCCCCCCCACAAAGACUGCCAACCUCCCAGGA
rnacentral:lncRNA from 1 species